UACAGAGGUCUCAAGCGUUGUUCGGAUUCAUUGGGCGUAAAGGGUGCGUAGGCGGCGCGGUAAGUCGGGUGUGAAAUUUCGAGGCUUAACUUCGAAACUGCAUUCGAUACUGCCGUGCUAGAGGACUGGAGAGGAGACUGGAAUUUACGGUGUAGCGGUGAAAUGCGUAGAUAUCGUAAGGAAGACCAGUGGCGAAGGCGGGUCUCUGGGCAACAACUGACGCUGAGGAGCGAAAGCGUGGGGGAGCGAACAGG
rnacentral:rRNA from 1 species